ensembl:lncRNA
CUUUGAGGAAGGAAAAGCAACUCUGAGGCUAUAAUUGAGCCCCAGGAAUGCCAAAUGUAUAUAUAAUUAGACACUUAGGAAAAAGUCAAGGAGCCUCGUGUUUAUCGUGCUGGCUCCGUCUCCUGCGCUUUUGGCACUGUGGUUUCUCAGCUGAGCUUCAGGCAGUUGCCUGGGCUGUUAAAUAGCCCUCACCAGGACAAGCAGCUGAGGAAUCCCUGCAGCUCAUUCUGCACUGUGCCGCUGGUGGGUAUUGCUCUUCCAGAGGGCUCAGUCCUCAGGAGGACAGGUUUUGAUGACCUAGUCUGAUUACAGCAUCUUUGACAGCUUUAAAGGAAUUUGCUCGAGGGAAGGCGACAGCUGCUGCUCUGAUGAAGGAUUUUUCUGAGCAGGCCUCCCAAGCAAGACAUGUCAGGAUGAGAUGCUGCCUACGCUUUUCAUCACAACCAACAGGUUGUUAAACUGCAAUCAAAAGCACUUAGUAGGAAUGGAUCUGUCCCUAUUAUGAGAUUUGAACUCCUGACAUCUUUAUCCAGUGGAACUUGAGUGCCCAGGACACAACCAAGAGGGGAUUCUGAGAUCGUUUUUCAACCCCUGCGACUGUGAGCCAGUUGCAGCAUGAGGAAAAGCCCUCCAACACCCCAAUGUACAGGAAAGAGAAGGUAAGGCAAUUCUCUUCAGGUAGCUUUUAGAUAUGGUGCUUUCAGUGAAGUGCCCCAGGCCAGCAAAAUGUGUCCACCUCCAUGCUGACACUGCUUUCACUCCUGGAAAGGGCAAGGUUUGAGUACAGCAUCUCUUACAAUCACUGUAACCUCAUGCAGAGACUAGUACCUUCUGUCAAUAUAAGCUGCUUGCAACCCUCAUGCGACAAGGUGGGUGUAACAGAUUAAAACACUUGGGUCUUUCCUCCCACUCUGCAGCAAAAGUUCCCCUUGUGAAAGAACAAAUGCCAGUGUUAUUCCACAUGAGAUUCCAUCUGAGCUGGAAAAUAACACAAAAAUGUAGUUCUUUAGAUAUUUCACAGCAAAUAAAUAGCUCCAGGAAAAGAACAACAACAAAAAAGUUCAAGCUUGUGCUUGCAGAGACAGUAAACCACCAUAUUUCAGCAGUCAUGGCAGGUAAUUCUAGCUGGAAAUUGUAUAUUUAAUGAUGGCCAGCCUUCAGCAUUUGACAACAGACUAUUGAAGCCUGUUGAAUGGUAAAUCACCUCUCUUCAUUAUCAGUAAUCCUAUUAUAAUAUCUGUAGAAAUGUCUAAAGUUAAAAUCUCAUUUUAUUACUAUAAUAAUGGAUCUCAUUUGUAAAACAUAUGAAAUGAGGCCAUAACUGUACUGGAGGGAGAUAUAUGUGAACCCACUAUAUCUAUAUCUACUUCCUGAUGGCUUUUGCCCACAUAUGCUCACAUUUUGAACAGGAGAAGAACUAAAAUAAAUGCCACUUGCAUGAUUUUUGGGAUUGGGUAUGGUUUUUAGAAAGGAAACCAACAUGAUCACAGAAAUGGAGUAAUCUCCACAAAAAAAGAACAGCCUUAAAUUUACAUUUAUGCAUAGGGAUAUGUAGGUGUUAAUCUGUGAUUUGCUCCAUUCAGCCCUUUCCAAUUGCCAGGAAAGCCCAGCUGCACAUCCACUAUUAUCACUACAUACUAUUUUUGGCUGCUGAGUACAUUUCAAGACACGUCAUCCUUCCCAAUCCAACACUUGCAUGAAGGGCAGAAACUCCUCUCUCCACUCCUCUGUCAUCUAUCACAGCUCCCAUCCCUUGGUGGCACUGCUGGCUCAGCCCUCCCUGCAGAGGGAUCUCCAGCAGUUUCUCCUCAAUCCUCCCCAUUUCCUUGAAUGAGCUGCUUUCCAACUGAAGCUUCAUGCAGGAGGCUUCAUGAUAGCAUCCAGAGUACAUGUCCCAAGUAUGUCCAGCCCCAUCUUCUGAUCCUAGUGCAGAGCAGCUCCCGACAGAUGACAGUAGCUGUCCUCCUUCAAUACUGAGGAAAAGGCCACCUGUGGACCAGGCUGUGGGGGAAAAGCGGAAAGCAGAGAGAAGGGUUCGAUUUCGUGAGCCGGAAGAAGUCAUUGAGCAUGUUAUUUCCUGCUGUGACUACGUAGUGGUACAUGACAGGUCUUCACCUGGAUUGCCUAUGCUCCUGGGGCUAUCAUUUUGUGUGGUACUGAUCCUGGCUGCAAGUCUCUUCUACACCAGCAUGAAGCAAGAUACCAAAGUCCUGGAAGAGUUUCAAUCCCGACUUGUUAUCUUCUUUCUUCAGAUAAGACACAUUGCUCAUAGAUGCUGGACCUGGUUUACAAGGUAGUAGCGAUGUCCUCCAUUUGCAGGAAGGCAGCACUGAUAAUCACCACGUGUCAGAGAGAACCUCCCAGCCCCCUCAGUCCACAUGUAAGGAACACAUGAGUAUCCACCUUGAAGAGCAAAAAAAAGCCACCCAUUUUGUGCACUUUCUAACAUCUACUUGUUCUCUCUUUUUUUAAAUAUAUAUUUUUUAAUAUUUCUGAAUGAUAGUAGUAGCACUAAGAGGUCCCACCAAACUGAUGUUCCAUCACCCUUAGCAGCAAACAAGGGUAUGAGUUUUGUCCCCUGAAGAGACUAUAAACUGUUGCUAUAAGGAGCAGAGGCAGAGAGAGAAAUUCAUUGAUCUGUGCACACAGAAGCACAUUGAAUAGAAGUCUCCUGAGUCUCAGGUCAAAGAAUAAACACCAAACCAUUUUUCUCCUCAAGCCUCUUACGUGCUAUUCUGCAAAGUUUAACAUAAAGCUGAACUAUUGCACAAACACUGCUCCGCUGGCCAAAGGCUUGGCAAGCUGCUAUAUUUAUAUACUUGAAAUGAUUGCUAGUAAAAGUCUCAGCAAAUGGCUUUCUUGUUUCCCUUCAUGCAUUUUUUCCUCUGUGGGCAAAAGCUGUUCCUUAAUGUUUCACUUGACUCCCAGGUGUGAAAAAUAACGUGAGAACUCAUUUAAAUACUAAACAGUGCAUUUGCCUAACACAAUACAGGGCAGCAUUGAAUCCCAGGUUAAUUAUCAAAUCAGAACUUAAUCCUCUUGGUUUGAUUCAGUCCAUAAACCCAAGAUUUAUGGUUGUGUUUGUCUUCAGUCGAAGCUUUCACAUUUAUGCCUGCAUGUUCAAGGGUAUUAUAGACUGUUUACAAAGGUGUUGGGUCAAAGCCCUGUUAUCUCUGUCGUAGCACCAUACAGCGUACCUCUCUGGAGGGAACCAAGCAUAUGCAAUCUUAUGAGCUUCAGCUAUGCUUUGUUCUUAGAAUCACAUAAUUGCUCAGGUUGGAAAAGACCUUCAAGAUCAUGAAGUCAACCACAGACAGAAACAGCAUGAUCCAUUUUCCAGGCCCUACAUUCUUGUCAAGUAAUACUUGAUAUAUGCAUAAGGGUGACAGCAGAGCCCAUAGAAGCCGAAGAAAAGAAAGGAAACAGUGGAGAAGAGGGAAGAGAUGCCUGCAAGACCUUGGCUUUAACUCCUCUGCCACAGUAAUGCACCAGAAGGAAAAAAAAAAAAGAUUCCUAACCAACUUUCAAAAAAAGCAAGCUUGUCCAGGCUGCCCAAAAAUUUAAACCAGACAGAGGGUAAAAGAAAACCAAUUACAUAGCCUUCACCUAGAGCAGAGUGGGCAGCAAGUUGACCAAUAACGAGCACAAAAAUAUAUGUAUUUGUAGUCAUAAGAACUGACUUGAGCAGCCAUUCUCAUGCUCUGAAGGCAACAGCAAUUGCACCUGGGGAGCUGCUGGUCUGGGACACACAGGGCACUGCAGGAGCGUUUGGCUCAGUGGCUCUUUAUGCAAACCACUCAUGCACCCCAGCCCUCAGGGUAAGUCCCCUGAGGCUUCCCUGCUCUCUCUCUCUCUCUCCACUCAGCCCACUGUUGGGAUAAUAAAGAAGAGGUUUUAAACUUAUGCUCUGGUGAAUCUAUGGUGGGAAGGUUUUUUCCGGAAGAGUCAAUUCCUGCACUGCAAGUUGUGGUAUAUUGCAACAUAAAAAGGCAAAGCCUGACAGGAGCUGGAUCACUUAGAGGGAGAGCAGUACCACAAAUCCUUCCUGCGUGCUUCAAUGCAGUUUCAGUAACUUGAAAAGAAGCCAAGGGGUUAAAAUUAACCAGGAACUCCUUUUAGGACUGUAAGGGAUGAUAUGAAAUCCAUAUGCAUGUUAAUAUGCAUGGGGCCUCCUUCUUCUAGCCCUGCUCAAGGUGGAAAAUAGCCAUGCUGACCUUGCUGUGCCCAGGUUUAUCAGUGUGAGAGGCCCACACUGAGAAUGGCUAUCACAUCCAGGUUGGCAAGGGAAAUAAAGCAGAGGAGCAGCUAUUCCUGGCUCCGGCUAGGACAGCUUUGGGCACAGGCAAUAGCAGCACUUGAGUUGUCUGCAGCUUCCCCAUGUUUUUGGGAGGCUUCCUGGGCUGGGAUUCUUUGCUGCGAUCAGUCAGGUAUUUGGCAAAAUGCAGAGAGCCAAAAGAAUGCAUUGUAGAGUACCAGCAGACAGCCUGAAACAAAUAAAAGCUAAAAUCUGUCCCUGGGAGAGCAGUGACCUUUUACAGCUGAAGAAUCUGCAGCUGAGAAAGCCAGUGCUUCUGUGCAAGUGAAUGAAGCAGGUCAAUAGCCAGGGUGGAAAUAGGAGUUAAAGUCCUGACCUCUAGGCCUGCCUUUAAUUACCAAUGCACAGCUCCACUGUAGACUUACCUGUUUUAUUUUCUCCUUGCACUGAAGCACUUGUCCCCUCCAACCAUUCUGCUUAAACACAGCACCAUUCUCAUACUCUGCUCUUUAUCCAUCAUACAUCUGUGCAUGCUGCUGUGAGUCAGAGAGGAUUUCUCCUUGCUCUUGUACAACACUGCUUUCUUAGGUGUGACACCUUGGUGAGUUUGGAGGAGAUGACCUCUGAAUUUAUACAGAAUGGGUUGUGUUGGUUACUGUUUCCCUUGCAGGCUGUGCUGGGUAAUAUUUUCCUCCAGUAUGACUCCCGAGAAUUGCUUUAUAAGGAGGAAAACAAACGGAGAGGGAUGUAAUAAUGAUAAUGUAAUAAAUGGUCAAACGUUCACAUGAAUUCACUGCGGUGCCAACAUGAAGACUAACUAAAACUCAGCUAUCUCUGAGCAAUUAUUUAGUCUAUCGUGGAAAUGUCAUUUUUUUGCAUCAAGUUGCAGAGAGGAGCGACAGACUCUUGCAGCAAGUUUUGAAGAAGGCUGCAAAUAAGUAGGCUUGCUAUGAGCACUGUCUGGAUUGGUAAGAAUCCAAGGGACAGAAGAGAGCAGAGAGUUCUGUGCACGAAAACAGGCCUAAGGACAGAAGUGCUCCUUACUAUCCUUUAUGCAAUGGGUGUUAAAUUCAUGCAUAGCAGGAAUCAGCAGAUCAUGGCAGUGUUGUUUUGACAAUGUGCAGUGCAUUCCUGCAGCAGAAACAGAGGGCAGCUGCCAGCACCCUCUUCAGGCAGGCUCACCCCAUCAGCACCACCUGAUUGCAUUAGCUGGCAUAGCCAUUCCCAUAUGAUUACAGGAGGUAGAAAAGCACACAGUGAGAUGACACUAGAUUUUGUGUGUUAACCUCUUAACACACUUUGCAUUCAUGUUUGCAGCUCCAAAGUCUGCUUCUAGUCCUGCUCUACUGCUUCACCUCUCCAGCACUGUGAGUCUGGAAACAAGUUAAGGAGCACAAGCAGUCUGUGGCAGACAUUUUAGUUGUUUCUGCCUUUUACCACUUCAAAGCAAGCUGAAGGUUGGCAGCAUGUGACUACACAAAAAAAAGAAAAGCAUUGCAGCUACCCUAAAGAAAUAGCUCAGGAGCCUCCAAGAUUAUAGAGUGGACUCCUUUCUCACUAUUUCUUUCUCCACAGUGGCUGUUGGGAUUAUUUAGUCUCACUCCUGGAGAGAAAGGCUGCUGCUACAGGAAGAAAAUUAGUCAGUUGACAAUUAGAAGAUUAACCCGCCCAUGCAACCUGUAAUAGCCCUUUACACUUGGUAACAAGCUGACCUUCAGCCACAUCCUGACACAGGAUCUUCUUCUCUUUGCCGCCUUUAGCAUUAGAGUUCACUGCUGGAAGAUGGUGAAAGGGCUCAGCUUAGGAGGUUGGUCACAUUGUUGACCAUAGGAGCUGCAGCAAGGAGAUUCCAAGGAAUGACUGCAUAAACCAGGAUUACACCAGUAACUCUGGUAACCAUUUUUUAACCAACAUAUUAAUAAUUUCAAUUCACCCUCAAAAAAAAAGGCACAGAAAUACUAACUUUUCAAAUAGUUUAUUUGUAUAUAUCAACAAAUCAUAAAAAGCCAAUGCACUGUCCAGCAAAAAGCAUCAAUAUAUAAAACACAUUUAAUCGUUAUCAGUAAUACUUGAGUAUACCACUUACACUGAGCCCAGUCCAGCUCCCUACUAAAGCCAAAGGAAACAUUGUCAAUGACUCCGUUAGCAGAAGGAUUGGACUUGCAAUUUCUAUUUGCCAGGUGUUUACAAAUGCUUGCAUUAAAAUACUAGUAUAAAGUUUCCCCUUUGAGACUGUAUCAAAACAACGAUAAGUUUAACUCCAAUUCUGUUUCUGUCAAAUGCAUGCAAUUAAUGCUCCAGAUCAGCACUCGUUACACUGCAGGAGAGCAUACAAAGCAUGAGAAAGAAUAUUCAAAACAGAGCAAGCUCUACCCUCAGCUUGUGUGGACUGGCAUAGCUCCAACGAGGCUUACAAAGCUAAGCUGCAUACACCAGCUAAAGAUCUGUCCCAAUCCUACUUUCAGCAGUUAAACAAAUUGUCAAAGUCUGGAGACCUCAAAAACAAAUUAUGAAACACUGAGUGGUCCAAGCUAAGGCUGAAGCUGGCAUCAGCACUGCCAGCCCAGGCUCUGCCACACUGGACCCCUCACAUCACAGCCUGAAUGCUGAAGUCCCUCACAGGAAGAACACUAACAGUUCUCAUUAUCUAUUUUUAUUCUGACUUACGGCACUCUCCUACCCCCUUUAGCUAUCCUUGUUCCUGAUAGGAAGAGAUGUGAGAAACAAGGCCUGAUUAGCCUGGUGGCAAUAAAACUCUGUAACGUUUCCAAGAGUGUUUUUAGAGAAGAAAGGAUUCAGGGGAAGGAGAUGUCAGUGGAACUGGAUUAUUUUUCUUUAUAAACCUGCAAAAAAAAAAACCUUUUAGCAGUACACUUUAGAUCAUGAUAUAUUCAUUUCUCAAGAGAGCUGAAAAAGAGCAGUAGUUUUAUUCAGGGAGUAUUUGACAAAAAUCUCUAAUGGCACCAAUUUACCGUGGAUGUGAUCCCACUGCAGUCUUGUGGUCACCCACCAAAAGGACUGUUUACAUCUCCUAAAAAACACUGGUUUGAGGAGACUGACAGCAGCUUUAGAAGCCAAAUGGUGAGCACACCAAGCAGUGAGGAUUUAAAUCAUUGCAGCAGUCUAGAAAGUGGCAAUGGUUAAUUAACAUGAAGAUCCACUGUGCUACAGGAGGAUGUGUGGUAUCUCAGACACAGACUGUUGCACUUUGCAGUGUUAACAGGAAAAAAGUAAUUCCUCCUGCUGUGGGACUGAGUGGGUGAAGAGCUCUGGACUGUGUUGUGUGGGAUACUAUGACAGAGUAUUUUCAAACAUCUCCCUGCUUUAGAAUCUAUGGAUUAACGUAUCACUCAUCUGAUUCCACCAGGUUGCUUAAGGGAAUCCUGGCAACCAACUUUGGGAAUCUUUUAGAGCAACGUGUCAGCCAAAUCAGGCCUGGUUUGUGUAAAAGGAAGAGUUUGGCACCAAACCUCAGGGAGUCCAAAUGAGAAUAGCAAAAAACUGAAAUGCUUUUUAUUUCUCUAACAAAUGGCAAAGUUUGCCAUAGGAGCUGCAAUUUCUCUUACAUUCAUAAAUACUGUUCAGAAGCUGUACACAAACUGGAGUCAAACAUGCACAGACGUGGGGGGAAAGGAGGGGAAAAUAAGGACUUUCACCACAGGGUCAUAUAUCCACUUGUGUAAGAAAUCACUCAAGAGGGCAACAGCAAUGAUGAAUUUUCAUUCCUACCUCCUGGCAGGGCAUCUCCACCCUCUCUUUACACCAUAGACAUGUGGAAAGGAGGAACAAGAAUACCUCAGACUACAUUUCCACAAUAA